GCUGACCUUAUCACAUACAAGUCAGGCUCAGGAAGGGAGGAAGCACUCUGCCCUGCCGUCCUUGUUUCACAAGGGGCAAUUGUUCCUGUAGUUUUUUGCUGAGAUCUCACCCAAGCACACCAGCCCCAACCUUGCAGAGCUGUAGGUUCAGCAGGGCCAGCAGCAUCCAUCAGUGAGUGAAAGGGGCUGGGCCAGGCUGAACACUGAAUAGCUUUGGAAUGGCUUGAACCUGUCCGCAACAAUGGCACAAAUGUCAUAUAAAACCAGGCCCUCUGCAGUAUCAAGAUGCUGAGGAGUGCAGAGCUCAAAGGGAACCAUGAACACAGUGGGGACAAAGGAUGCCUCGGGACCUUCGCAGCACGGCUAGAAGUGGGGCCAUCAGCAAGGAUGUGCCACCAUGCGACCCUGCCCACGCUGCCUGGACAAGCAGGCCAUGCUCAUCUCUAGUGAGAGCAGCCCAGCAUUUCGGGUGGUUAAUGUCACUAAUAUUGGCACAUGUAUUCACA